GAGAAAAUCAAAUGCCUCUUCUGACCAAGAUACAAAGCCAAAUGAAUAUUCUAACUGCAAUUAUGAAAACACUGAAUAAGGGGAGCAACCUACAUUCUUUGUGUUACGGAGCAGUAAUUUACGGAGACCCAAUUCACGCAGAGUUUGCAGACUGAACAGCGGUCACAUCCACACAAUCAAGAGCAGUGGAGAACGCUUCUUGUUUCAAAAGGUCUUAAGACAAAUCCCUCCCAAGGCAGAAGGCUGCAGAGCAGACAGCCCCUGGGCUUCCCCAGCACAACUCCUGGUCAGCAAAGCAAGGUCCCCUAGACACCAUGGCGGCCACGGGUGGACAUUUUAGGAAGGAGCAGCAGACACGGCCAGAUGCCACGGCGCUGGUGUGGGAUGUAUGACCUGCCUGGAUGGUAAAGACCCGGCCUCACAAGGUGCCUCGUCACAGCUAAGGAGCCAGCAAGUUUGAUCCUAGAACUUUUCAACAGUCGAAUUCAAUCACUGAUACUUUAUAAAAUCUACUGGGAAUUACUUAACCGAGCAGCUGUCCGUCUCCCUCCGUCAGCUUUUGCUUCAGGAUAGGGUUGUAAGAACUCUGGCUGCAUCAGAACCAGCCCGGGCUGCCUUGGAGUGGAGGCUCCGGUCAGUACAGCCCCUCACCUGGAGAGGGGAAGGGUCUGCCCAGAGGAUGAGGGCACCACCCCAACUCAUGGGGACACCCAGAACAGAGGGCUGCGAUGGCCUCCGUUCCCAGGCUGGAGAGGUGUCCAUCCCCCUGUGGUCCACCUCUCUGAACUGAAGGCCCAGCAGGGUUUGGCGAUUGUCAAGUGCUGGAAAGACUCAAUGAGGUGAGCGGGCCCCGCACGAGACCGUGUGCAGGACGUGCUGGCCGGGCUGCUGAGAGCAUCCUGGCCCGACUCCCUUUCCGCUGAUGCUAACCAAGCUGGCCACUCAGGCCCUCGUGCAAGGUUUGUUGCUGGACUCCCUGAACUGAGACCCUGGGCCCCACAAAACGUCACUGGCGCGUACUCAGCAGCCAGAGCGGGCAGGCGGUCUCCCUGGCCAGGGUGGUGAAAGGGCACAUGAAGACUGCGUCCACAUGGGACACAAACAGGCAAAUGCCCAGCAUUAGGGGACUGGCCGCAGAAACAGAAGUCAUCCACUAGAGGGACCACGACGCAGAAAGAGCAUGGGACUUCCCUGGAGGUCCAGUGGUUAGGACUCUGCACCUCCACUGCUGGACUGGGCUCAA